AAGUAGGGUGUCACCGAUUCAAAGGUCUUUGCAACGCCCGGAUGGCCUGCAAGUGGUAUGCUGUGAUUGACAAACAGAAUGUGUUCACGGAUUGAACUGAUGUUGGGAACCACGCACAGCCUUUUCCCCCCGAAGUUUUUAUGGAAAAAGCCACCUGAGUUUUUCUGAUAAUUUCUGAUUGCAUUCUGAUCCUGAAAGUGCUCAUCAAGCUCAUAGCCUUGCAGAAUGGCUUUGUAGAUGGUGUCCGCAGGGUUGC
rnacentral:lncRNA from 1 species